rnacentral:rRNA from 1 species
AACGGCCAUACCAUGCUGAAUAGCAAUUCUCGUUAGAUCACCGAAGUCAAACAUCAUUGGGCUCGGUCAGUACUUGGGUGGGUGACCACCUGGGAACUCCCGGUUG